AGAGUUUGAUCCUGGCUCAGGAUGAACGCUAGCGGCAGGCUUAACACAUGCAAGUCGAGGGGCAGCGGGUGUAGCAAUACAUGCCGGCGACCGGCGAAAGGGUGAGUAACGCGUGAGCAACAUGCCCGUAUGUGGGGGAUAGUCGAUGGAAACGUCGCGUAAUACCCCGUAAUAUAUGGAACUGCAUGGUUCUAUAUUGAAAGAUUGAUUGCAUACGGAUUGGCUCGCGUACCAUUAGGUAGACGGCGGGGUAACGGCCCACCGUGCCGACGAUGGUUAGGGGUUCUGAGAGGAAGGUCCCCCACAUUGGAACUGAGACACGGUCCAGACUCCUACGGGAGGCAGCAGUGAGGAAUAUUGGACAAUGGCCGGAAGGCUGAUCCAGCCAUGCCGCGUGCGGGAGGACGGCCCUAUGGGUUGUAAACCGCUUUUGCAUGGGAGCAAUAAGGGUCACGUGUGGCCCGAUGAGAGUACCAUACGAAUAAGCAUCGGCUAACUCCGUGCCAGCAGCCGCGGUAAUACGGAGGAUGCAAGCGUUAUCCGGAUUUAUUGGGUUUAAAGGGUGCGUAGGCGGCUUGGUAAGCGGGAGGUGAAAUGCCGGCGCUCAACGUCGGAAGUGCCUCCCGAACUGUCGGGCUUGAAUGGUUGUGCCGUGGGAGGAAUGAGUGGUGUAGCGGUGAAAUGCUUAGAGAUCACUCAGAACACCGAUUGCGAAGGCAUCUCACGAACGACUGAUUGACGCUGAGGCACGAAAGCGUGGGGAUCAAACAGGAUUAGAUACCCUGGUAGUCCACGCAGUAAACGAUGAUGGCUAACCGCUGGGGCAGACGCUUCAGUGGCCAAGGGAAAAGCGAUAAGCCAUCCACCUGGGGAGUACGACCGCAAGGUUGAAACUCAAAGGAAUUGACGGGGGCCCGCACAAGCGGAGGAACAUGUGGUUUAAUUCGAUGAUACGCGAGGAACCUUACCCGGGCUCGAACGGCAGAGGAACAAUCCAGAGAUGGAGCGGCCCUUCGGGGCUUCUGUCGAGGUGCUGCAUGGUUGUCGUCAGCUCGUGCCGUGAGGUGUCGGCUCAAGUGCCAUAACGAGCGCAACCCUUGCCGUCAGUUACCAUCAAGUAGUGCUGGGCACUCUGGCGACACUGCCACCGUAAGGUGUGAGGAAGGUGGGGAUGACGUCAAAUCAGCACGGCCCUUACGUCCGGGGCUACACACGUGUUACAAUGGCGCGUACAGAGGGCAGGCGGCCGGCAACGUCCGUCGAAUCCCGAAAUCGCGCCGUAGUUCGGAUUGGGGUCUGCAACCCGACCCCAUGAAGCUGGAUUCGCUAGUAAUCGCGCAUCAGCCAUGGCGCGGUGAAUACAAAGCCGGGCCUUGCACACACCGCCCGUCA
rnacentral:rRNA from 1 species